UACAGAGGGGGCAAGCGUUGUUCGGAAUUACUGGGCGUAAAGGGCGCGUAGGCGGCCUGUUAAGUCGGACGUGAAAUCCCUCGGCUCAACCGGGGAACUGCGUCCGAUACUGGCGGGCUUGAAUUCGGGAGAGGGAUGUGGAAUUCCAGGUGUAGCGGUGAAAUGCGCAGAUAUCGGGAGGAACACCAAUGGCGAAGGCAGCUCGCUGGGACGUUACUGACGCUGAGACGCGAAAGCGUGGGGAGCAAACAGG
rnacentral:rRNA from 1 species